ACCGGCGCACGGGUGCGUAACGCGUAUGCAAUCUACCUUUUACAGGGGAAUAGCCCAGAGAAAUUUGGAUUAAUGCCCCAUAGUAUGUAUGAAUCGCAUGGUUUAUAUAUUAAAGUUCCAACGGUAAAAGAUGAGCAUGCGUCCCAUUAGUUAGUUGGUAAGGUAACGGCUUACCAAGACGAUGAUGGGUAGGGGUCCUGAGAGGGAGAUCCCCCACACUGGUACUGAGACACGGACCAG
rnacentral:rRNA from 1 species